CGAGGCCAAAGCCCGUGAGGUUUUAUUUUUAUUUAUUUAUUCGCUCUAGGCAGACGACAGCGGAGGCGACGCCGCUGCCAACAUCUGGGACUGGCUCUUAAAUCGCCUGCUGCAUGCAGAAACGCUCUGUUUGCACAGCGUGACGUUACGCAGGUUAAAUACCGGGCUACACAACGAACCACUGAUGGGGACGGCGCAGAAACCGCCUCCGAGCACUUCGGGUCUGGACAGGGCCGAGUUUGCCCAGCUCCAGCGUUACCAGCGGCUCCCCGCUUCUGGACCUCUUAGACAUCGCUCCCCCGAGACCGCCGCGAUUAGGAAGAGUGAUGUCAGUCCUGGAAAGCCUCCAAACCACCAUCUAAUUCAGGAGGAAGCAGCGUCCCUGCUGCUAACGGAAGAGGUCACCUUCUCGCCCAGAAGCAGCCUCCGGGCUGCGUGGGGGGACUCGCGCCAGGCGCCCGUUCCCCGCCGGGCUCGGCCGCCGCGGGCCCGGACCCCGCGGCUCGGUUUACGAACCGCUAACGGCGCUGACUGUCGAUAGCGUUGGAGCACGGAAACCUGCCCUAGCGUCCCUGGAAGACCCCGCUGCCAAGGAUGCAGGAGGCCGAAUAACCUGGUUAUCAAACCGCCGCUUUCGACACGCAGAUCUAAUCUCAUCCAUCCAGCGCAGAACGAAACCUCUUCGCAUCUGCCGUCGGUGAUGAUUAACUGAUCCUGGAGAGCCCUGAAAAUAGGCACUUUGAAGGCAAGCGACAAACUCCCCCGAGUUUCCUCUGCGGCAGUUACAACUCUGCAGGAAACUGCUUUGGCCUCGCUGGACACGGACGAUCCUGCCACCCUCCCCGGCGAGGCCGAGGCGCCAGGGCAGCGGCGAGCAGCGUUAUGCAAAGAGCUGACAACUUGGAGAGGGAGCAAGUGAGGCAGGAAACUGAAAAGCUCCCAGUCUAUAGCAGCCCUCUUCACCCUUCCUUGUGGGUAAACCAGAAGAUCACCAAAUCUUUGGGUAUCCAGCCCGGAAGCCUCUGAUGUUCUCCUUCCACAAAGAUUGAGGAAGGCUACAAGCAAGUGUUCCCCAUCCUCCUCCAAAAGGAUGAGGCACAGGUAAUCCAGAGAAAGCUACAGCAUCAAAAUAGUUCUUGGACAGAAGCACCCUGCUUUCGGAUAGUCUCUGGAGGUGCAAACAGAUUUUUCCCCAUGGAAACCUGGAAGCAAGGGAGCAGGCAUCUUGGGGAGGACGGGAUGUCUCCAGCAACACUGCACUUAACCCAGCCCAGGUAAACGUCUCCUGGGAAUGCUCCUGCCCAGGGCAAGAGAGGAAACACCAUUAUCACUCCUGGUGCUCUCCAGACCUAUUUUUCUGUGGAUGUCUGCCUCUAACCCCAGCUGCAUGGGAGUCUGACACCACCAGAAGUGGAGAUCUGGGUGCCACUUGGAAGAGCACAAGCCAGCUAAGCCCCUCCAGAGCCACAAAAUCCUUCCCCACCACUAUUAUGAGUGGGAAUGCUACAGAGGCUGAACCCUUCUGGACAAAUGCUGCAGGGGUCUUGCAAAGCACCAAAAUGCCGGGCUCGCUCAUCGCCAUGGUCUCUAGAGCCAACCUCAGUGUAAAACCCUGCUAGAAGAUCUCAACCAGCUACCCCCACCGUCCCUCUCCUGCAGCAUCCUUUGGCUAUAGCUUGUGCCAAGGGCUCUGCUUCCCGACUCCCCCUUCAGCUGAGCUGUGUAACCAAGGUAUGUGGGGCAGCUUUUCGCCCUGGGUUACCUGCCAGCUCGCCAACCUCGUCCGCACCUGAGCCCUGCAAGUGGUGCAAGCACGGCUGAGCAUGCUCUUUGACCUGGCCCGAGCGUUGCUCAGGUUUCCUCGUAAGCAGAUAGCACGGUUGCCUCCUAGCAGCCCUAGCCAUUAAAAUGUGUCCUGCUCCUGCAGGAGACAGCUGCUCUGGUGGAAACCUCCUGUGUCUCUCAGCAGGGAAGGAGCUGCAUCCCAGCCCCGUAUGGGAAGCACCAGACAGUGCUCACGGACCGGUGGGUCUGCAGAUGUUGGUAGCUUGGUCCAUCCUCUGUAAUCCCCUGCCUGUGGGCAGCCCUGGACACCCACCAGGGUCCUAUCUCUGCAAGCGGGGAGCGUGUGGAGCAAGGCGUCCCACAUCUCCCCCAGGUGAGCUUCAGGUUCAACAGCAUUGCAGUGACCCCAGUGGGGAAAUGUCUGUCCCCUACGGGGAGGGUUUGCACCCCUGUCCCCAUCAGGACCUGGGCUGCCUGGAAGUGGAAGGACAGCCUCGAAGCUGAACCCAGCAUGGACUGAGGGGAGAAGCCCAGGACCUAGCCUUAAACCCAGCACCAGCUUAAACAAGCUACUUGAUUCAAA